UAUAAGGUUUGUAUAAUUUUAGUUUUAUUUAAGUUUUAAAAUUUUGAUAUUUUUUUUAAGAUUUGCCUGCCCCUGUCUGAACACUUAAAUUCUUGGUCUUUGGUCUAUUGUCUGCAACUUCAAAACACACUUUUUGGAACAGGACACAUUUUCCUGAUAUUUUAUCCAGUUUGACUGCAAUAUAAGUUGUAUUUAUCAAUAAUUUAAGUAAAAAAUGACAUUUAUAUUUCCAUAAUUACCUGGUAGUUAUUUGUUAAUUUGUUUUAAUUCAUGGAUAGGUUUAUUGCGAGUGUCAUGGAAAGCUGGAACUUUUCAGUACACAACAUGCAAACUGAGAAUGAACUGUGUGUGCCGGCUUUGUGAACAAAAACGCAAGGCGGCUAUGAUACACUGUGUUGUGUGUGGAUAAGAAAUGCAGAGUGGUACCACCAAUUACCUAAGCCACCAUUCCCCUAACAGACAAAAGGCUCAUGGGGACAGUUCCUGCAGUUUACAGCAAAUUGUAGCCCUACAAACUUCAGAUACUGCCAAGCUUGGGUGCACUGGGCCGGUUAUCCAGCCGUGUGGAAUCAACAUCUCCAGCUGAACUUGGGCCGGGAAUUAUAUAAGAAUCCUUAGCAGCAUGAGUGCCAGCCAGUCAUUGCUGUUCUUUGCAUUGCUGAGGAGGACAGUCCUGCCAACAUAACAGUUUGUUCAAUAACAGGAGACAAACAGAAACACAGAGGUGCUAUACAUUCCGAUGGAAAAUACAACAAAAGCAUCUCCCAUCAUUUUGGCGUGGCUCAGAUCAAGAGGAGAAUUUUAAGAAAGGUGAUGGUUGGGCACACACAAGAAGACAUAGAUCACAUGUGUCCAGGCAUAUGAGUAGACAGGAGUUUCACACUCUGCCAAACUUACUUCAUCAGAGGAGCAGAAAGCUUCUCAAGAUCCCGCACUGCACACUUAGAUAUAGUCUUUGACUACAACAAGGGGAUGAAAGUACAGAGAGGUCCAAUUGAAAUCAAUUCUGUGCUGCGUCAUUUCUUCAUUCUGGAAGUCGAUGGACAUGAUUUAUCAUGGCAUCAGGUGUGCAGUUUGUCGACUAUCAGCAGUCUUGUUCACCAGUUGUGCAACUUGAGCUGGUAGCUUUAUUGCUUGAAGCCACAGCAUAAGA